rnacentral:rRNA from 1 species
AUACGUAGGGGGCGAGCGUUGUCCGGAUUUAUUGGGCGUAAAGGGUGCGUAGGCGGCCUUGUAAGUCAGAUGUGAAAGAUCACGGCUUAACUGUGGUAAGCAUUUGAAACUGCAGGGCUUGAGUACAGGAGAGGAGAGUGGAAUUCCUAGUGUAGCGGUGAAAUGCGUAGAUAUUAGGAGGAAUACCAGUGGCGAAGGCGACUCUCUGGACUGAUACUGACGCUGAGGCACGAAAGCGUGGGGAGCAAACAGGAUUAGAUACCCUGGUAGUCCACGCUAUAAACGAUGAGUGCUAGGUGUCGGGGGUCAAACCUCGGUGCCGCAGUUAACACAUUAAGCACUCCGCCUGGGGAGUACGGCCGCAGGGCUGAAACUCAAAUGAAUUGACGGGG